rnacentral:lncRNA from 1 species
UGGUUGAGUCCUGGGAGCAGAGCGUUCGCCCCCACAACCUACCGGACCACGAGGUGGGGACCGAAAACGUGUUGGACUCUCCAGGAGCCAAAGCGAAUCCGGUGGUGACCGGUCGCUGGUCAGUCCCGCCAUUAGACAGAAUGGCCGGCCAUAUGGUGGUGGUGCAAUUGUUUGCGAUGGUGAACGUCGCCGGGUAGCCGACUCGAAUGGAUUGAAGGAGACAGAGAAGGAAAAGGAACGAUGAAAAAGCUUGAUGGGAAGCCAUUGGAAGUGAAAUGUGCUCUUUUUGUUUCAGUAGGUGGUGUGGGAGAAUGUUGCUUUUUUAUAGGGAAAGAGGAGAGAGUUAGCAGUCGUGUCGUGUGGGAAGAAUAUGUGACGUGUGUUUUGCGUCUCUAGUUUUAUAGGCGGCAACUUGUGCAGAGAAGGCAUUGUAAUAAUAUGCUAAUCUAUUUUAUUUAUAUGUUUGUGAACUUUAUUACCUGUAAAGCAAAUAUGUGACAAGUGGACAUGUGUCGAAAUUCCACGUUUAAGGUGGAUAUUUGAUUUGACCAAACAUAAAAAAAAAAUUUUAAAAAAAGGUAAAUAGUUGGUACGUUCAUCGACUGCUCUGAUAUUUUCAGCGGACAUGCAGAAGAGUUGUGGUGGGACCACUGCUUAAUAAAUUGGAUAAAGCAGAGCUUCCCCUGAAAUUCCAGAAGAGUUGUGGUGGGAACCACAAAAGAAAUGUGAGAUUUUGAUUUGUGGUUGGAAGUUGGAACCAUUUGAUUUGUGGUUGGAAGUUGGAACCAUGGAAGAGUUGGGAGCACCUUCUUUUCUUUUUCUUUUUCUUUUUUUUUUUUUUUUGGAAUAACCUUUCCGAAGAAAGGAGACAAUUUUAUUUCAAACUUUAGAUUACACAUACAAGGUAGACACUGCCAACGAAGGUAGACAGAGAGAAGGAGAAGGAGGUGGUGUGUUAAACACCCGAGCCAAUGAGUCCACCGGAGCUCUACGUACCCCUAAAACGAUCGCAACCAUGUGCUUUGAAAUCUGACAGCAGAUCGAGUUGAAAGUAUGUGGGGGAAAACAGGCGUUGGGUAGAGACAUUUUGGGUAAAUCAGGAAGAACUGGGAGGAACAGUAACAAAAAAACUGAGAAACAAAAAGCAAAACAAAAACCUUUCCUCCAACCCCCGCCACAGCGAGGGCCUUCGACAACAAUUUUAAUCGAUGAGGGAAUCACUCACACACAGAUGGUGGAAAAGACUCUCAAGAAGAGAGAAGGAACUCUCACACGGAGAGAAAAGUUUCAAUUCUGUACAUGGAUGAUAUUUGUUCAAUCAUAUGUGGUAUCAUCGUCAACUAUUUGGGACACUUAGACCAUCUUCAAUCCAAAUCUUCAAUCCAAGGUUGGUCAGAUGGUUCAUUUUAGCCCCUCUAGCUUUUCAAGAUAUUAAUAUUUUAAUCAACAGUACAUGAUCAUAUUAGUCUCAGAGACCCAGAUGGGAGUGAAAAGGAUUUGCACAUUUAAUUACUAUUUCCUCUACAGUGCAGCUUCAAUAGGUGACAGUAAAAACUCUUGUAUCUACAUUUGUGACAGGAUUACCAAAAAUAAGAACCAAGCAAUGCAUACAAUAGGUUUUGGCCGCUGUUAUCACGAGCCGAAUUAGAGCACCUUCAAUGUUGAAAUAUACAAGAACAUGACAUCCGCCUGAAGGUUCUCUUCAUUUAAAGACCAUCACAGAUUUCCAAAUGUUCAGUUAGUAACUAUCCCUAUUGCCUGACCUAUCAAGUAUCCAUACAGCACAAUGAGCAGGGACCGACAGAUAAGUAGGAAAACGAUUCACUCCAAGCGUGUAAUGUCCAGAAGCGACCGGACCAGCCGGCCGGGGCUUGUUCUAUAGCCGAACGGCCACAUAUAUGUAUGUAAAAGGGGAAAACUUGUUCGCCAAACGACAACACUUAUCAUCCAUCAGAGAAAUUAAAACCCUUUUGCAAAAACCAUCAUAUGUAUAUCCCACCAAAACGCAAAAUUACGGGACCCAAUUACAAAAGACUAAUGCUUUAGCAAAAAAAUAUAAAAGGUUCUUGAAGACAAUAUUUACUAUUACUCUGUCUCUUCUCUUUUAUUUUUCAAGCCUUGGCAUUAGGACGAUUUUAGUCUUAAAAUCAUCAAUAGUGCAAAUGGUUACCCGAUCGAAGGAGCAGGGCAGAAAGUGAUGAUGUAAUUGGCGGAAGCACAGGUGAAGGUGCUGGUGCUGUCGUCAUACGCAUAGCUGUAAGCUUUCGGGCACGCAUUUUUAAAAAACUGCGAGUAAGAACUCGGCACGCAUGUGUCCGGCGUAGCGUACGGCCCGCUACAGCAGUACUGCGGCUCCCCAAGCGCCUCGCACGCGCUUUUACACGCCACUCCCUCCUCACUCGCCGUCACCUUCAGCUCCGAGGGGCACCCCUUGUUCAAGUCCACAACGCACCCGGUGGACGUGCAGUUCCCUCCGGUCCCGCCCUCGGCCACCACCAACAUGGGAAGAUUAUACCCAUCGACCAAGCUCACGUCGUAGAAAUCAAGCCCACCCGUACCGUUCAGCGUGAACUCUGCGAGAGUAGCCGGCGGCGCGGCUCCACCGCCAGCACAUUCGACUGCCGAAGAUCCGCAGUCGCCUGUCAAGCAAGUGAAGUUGCCUGUGGUUGAGUCUUGGGAGCAGAGCGUUCGCCCCCAUAACCUACCGGACCACGAGGUGGGGACGGAAAACGUGUUGGACUCUCCAGGAGGCAAAGCGAAUCCAGUGGUGGCCGGUCGCUGGUAAGUCCCGGCAUUAGACAGAAUGGCCGGCCAUAUGGUGGUGGUGCACUUGUUUGCGAUGGUGAACGUCGCCGGGUAGCCGAC